rnacentral:misc_RNA from 1 species
AAAGUCGUAACAAGGUUUCCGUAGGUGAACCUGCGGAAGGAUCAUUCAUAAUAAGUGUUUUAUGGCACUUUUAAAAAUCCAUAUCCACCUUGUGUGAAAUGUCUGUCGCUCUCUAGCUUUUCUUUUCUUCGGAAAGGAGAAAGAGGCGGCUCAACAUCAACUCAUUUUAAUUACUUUGUCUGAAAACUAUUAUGAAUAAACUAAUUCAAAAUACAACUUUCAACAACGGAUCUCUUGGCUCUC